rnacentral:rRNA from 1 species
GACGAACGCUGGCGGCGUGCUUAACACAUGCAAGUCGAACGGAAAGGCUCUGCUUUUGUGGGGUGCUCGAGUGGCGAACGGGUGAGUAACACGUGAGUAACCUGCCCUUGACUUUGGGAUAACUUCAGGAAACUGGGGCUAAUACCGGAUAGGAGCUCCUGCUGCAUGGUGGGGGUUGGAAAGUUUCGGCGGUUGGGGAUGGACUCGCGGCUUAUCAGCUUGUUGGUGGGGUAGUGGCUUACCAAGGCUUUGACGGGUAGCCGGCCUGAGAGGGUGACCGGCCACAUUGGGACUGAGAGACGGCCCAGACGCCUACGGGAGGCAGCAGUGGGGAAUAUUGCACAAUGGGCGGAAGCCUGAUGCAGCAACGCCGCGUGCGGGAUGACGGCCUUCGGGUUGUAAACCGCUUUCGCCUGUGACGAAGCGUGAGUGACGGUAAUGGGUAAAGAAGCACCGGCUAACUACGUG